UCCCUUGAAGCUCAGCUGGUAAAGAAUCUGCCUAUAAUGCAGGAGACCCGGGUUCGAUUCCUGGGUUGGGAA
rnacentral:tRNA from 1 species